rnacentral:rRNA from 1 species
AUCGGAGAUCUAAAUGAGAUUAUGUAUCCAUUUGAGAAAGAGGAGGGAAGACCCAGACCAGCUCAAUUUAUGCAAGCAUUUCGGGAUGUGGUAGAUGACUGCCAGCUAUCUGAUUUGGGUUUUGUAGGAGAUAAAUUCACAUGGCAUGGGGGAGACAUCAGAGAACGCCUUGACCGUGCGUUAUCUUCUGAAGAUUGGAGUUACAGGUUUUCUGAUGCCAAGUUGGAAACGCUCCAAUAUUACAAGUCGGAUCACCGACCACUGCUGUUGAGCUUCGACGAAGCACCGGCCCAGGAUGUCUCGGGCCUAUCUGUGCUCAGGUUUGAAGCCUGCUGGUUAAGAGUCGGGCUUCCCUGUGACUGA